UACGUAGGUGGCGAGCGUUGUCCGGAAUUACUGGGCGUAAAGGGUGCGUAGGCGGAAGCUUAAGUCAGAUGUGAAAAUCCAGGGCUCAACCUUGGAAUUGCAUUUGAAACUGGGUUUCUAGAGUGCAGGAGAGGAAAGCGGAAUUCCUAGUGUAGCGGUGAAAUGCGUAGAUAUUAGGAAGAACACCAGUGGCGAAGGCGGCUUUCUGGACUGUAACUGACGCUGAGGCACGAAAGCGGGGGGAGCAAACAGGAUUAGAUACCAUGGUAGUCCACGCCGUAAACGAUGAGUGCUAGGUGUAGGGAGUGUCAUGCUCUCUGUGCCGCAGCAAACGCAAUAAGCACUCCGCCUGGGGAGUACGGUCGCAAGACUAAA
rnacentral:rRNA from 1 species